UGGGGAAUCUUGCGCAAUGCGCGACAGCGUGACGCAGCAACGCCGCGUGGGGGAAGACGGCCUUCGGGUUGUAAACCCCUUUCAGUUGGGACGAAGGUUCGGCCGUUAAUAGCGGUCCGGACUGACGGUACCUUCAGAAGAAGCCCCGGCUAACUACGUGCCAGCAGCCGCGGUAAUACGUAGGGGGCAAGCGUUGUCCGGAAUCAUUGGGCGUAAAGAGCGUGUAGGCGGCCCGAUAAGUCCGCUGUGAAAGUCCAGGGCUCAACCCUGGAAUGCCAGUGGAAACUGUCGGGCUGGAGUCCGGAAGAGGCGAGUGGAAUUCCUGGUGUAGCGGUGAAAUGCGCAGAUAUCAGGAGGAACACCAAUGGCGAAGGCAGCUCGCUGGGACGGUACUGACGCUGAGACGCGAAAGCGUGGGGAGCAAACAG
rnacentral:rRNA from 1 species